GCCAGUGUGGUGUAGUGGUUUCAUGUUGGAUUGUGACUGGAGACCAGGGUUCGAUUCCCAGCUCGGCU